AAUUUGUCAUAUUUCUAACGGAAUGAUGGGCACUGCCUUUGGUACAACCCUACAGGUAGUCAAAUAUACAACGUUUUUAAUCCAGAGACAAUGAAACUGGAAUGGGUCGAAUUGGCGCUUAAUGUUGUGAGAAAUGCAUCAAAGACGCUGUGACGUCAACGCAUAGCAUUUGCAAAGCUAGGUCAGUAGUCCAAUGUAUUGACAAUGGGGCAGCCAAGUGAUACAUGAACUAAAAUGAGUGCAAAUAAUCGACAUAGUAAGAUACAAUAGUAACUGGAUUAAAUAUUUAAUUACAGACAAUAUGGAUUAUCUACAGAAUUGAUAUAUUACAAGGGACAACUAUGGAACUAAAAA
rnacentral:lncRNA from 1 species